AGAGGCAGAGAUCACAACCCUGAGGCGUGUUCAGCAGAGUGAGUGCAGGCGUUUGCUCAGUAAAUUUCCCUAUACCUUUAACACAGUUGGAGAGAAAUCGCAAGCACCUGCUCUGCUGAUCAUGCCUCAGAUAUAUACAGCAUUCAAGAAA
rnacentral:precursor_RNA from 10 species